UGGGGAAUAUUGCACAAUGGGCGCAAGCCUGAUGCAGCCAUGCCGCGUGUGUGAAGAAGGCCUUCGGGUUGUAAAGCACUUUCAGCGGGGAGGAAGGCGUUAAGGUUAAUAACCUUGGCGAUUGACGUUACCCGCAGAAGAAGCACCGGCUAACUCCGUGCCAGCAGCCGCGGUAAUACGGAGGGUGCAAGCGUUAAUCGGAAUUACUGGGCGUAAAGCGCACGCAGGCGGUCUGUCAAGUCGGAUGUGAAAUCCCCGGGCUCAACCUGGGAACUGCAUUCGAAACUGGCAGGCUAGAGUCUUGUAGAGUGGGGUAGAAUUCCAGGUGUAGCGGUGAAAUGCGUAGAGAUCUGGAGGAAUCCCGGUGGCGAAGGCGGCCCCCUGGACGAAGACUGACGCUCAGGUGCGAAAGCGUGGGGAGCAAACAGG
rnacentral:rRNA from 1 species